UGUGAUGUUCCUCCUCCUUUCCUUAAUUCCCCUACCUGUAUCAUUGUGUCACCAUUACCAAUGGCUUUCCUUCUAUAGCAAGGAUUGUAAGUGUGUAUACUCCCAAUAACCAUUCUGUUAUAUUAAUUUGCUCCAUCUCCUGUAUCACAGAACACAAAUUGGGACGGCCUCUUGAAUAAAACUGUGAUGCCACCAAUCAUGCCUCUUAUGAAAAGCAAUAACAGCAGCUCUAAGGCAAACCUUGUUAUAACUACUGGCGAGAGUAAUUUGCCUAUCCCAGCCUCUGUCAAUGAAGCGCUCCAGGACUUUGAGUAUUAUGCUGGUCGAGUGUGUGAGAACGGCCACGUGUAACCGACCUGGCACAUUACAGGCUGAAGUUGAUGCAAGGAAAUAUGACAGUCGGAGCGCUUGAGGUCCUUUAUAACGUCUUGCCUGCAAAAGGGCCCCCACGUCAGAUGGAGAGUUGCAGAGCUGCUGCAGCACCCAUUUAUUACAGAGCUGCAAUCUAACGGCCAUGAGAGCUGAAAUGAAAGAGCCCCUGCAGGCACCGAGGAACAAGUCUACCGGGAAAGAACACAAAUUGGGAUGGCCUCUUGAAUAAAACUGUGAUGCCACCAAUCAUGCCUCUUAUGAAAAGCUCAAGCAAUAACAGCAGCUCUAAGGCAAACCUUGUUAUAACUACUGGCGAGAGUAAUUUGCCUAUCCCAGCCUCUGUCAAUGAAGUGCUCCAGGACUUUGAGUAUUAUGCUGGUUGAGUGUGUGAGAACGGCCACGUGUAACCGACCUGGCACAUUACAGGCUGAAGUUGAUGCAAGAAACUAUGACAGUCGGAGCGCUUGAGGUCCUUUAUAACGUCUUGCCUGCAAAAGGGCCCCCACGUCAGAUGGAGAGUUGCAGAGCUACUGCAGCGCCCAUUUAUUACAGAGCUGCAAUCUAACGGCCAUGAGAGCUGAAAUGAAAGAGCCCCUGCAGGCACCGAGGAACAAGUCUACCGGGAAAGAACACAAAUUGGGAUGGCCUCUUGAAUAAAACUGUGAUGCCACCAAUCAUGCCUCUUAUGAAAAGCAAUAACAGCAGCUCUAAGGCAAACCUUGUUAUAACUACUGGCGAGAGUAAUUUGCCUAUCCCAGCCUCUGUCAAUGAAGCGCUCCAGGACUUUGAGUAUUAUGCUGGUUGAGUGUGUGAGAACGGCCACGUGUAACCGACCUGGCACAUUACAGGCUGAAGUUGACGCAAAAAAAUUAUGACAGUCGGAGCGCUUGAGGUCCUUUAUAACGUCUUGCCUGCAAAAGGGCCCCCACGUCAGAUGGAGAGUUGCAGAGCUGCUGCAGCGCCCAUUUAUUACAGAGCUGCAAUCUAACGGCCAUGAGAGCUGAAAUGAAAGAGCACCUGCAGGCACCGAGGAGCAAGUCUACCGGGAAAGGUGAGCGACCCCAUGAUUUUAAUUCCCAGUUUUUUCACCACAUCUUCUUAUAUUUUUAUAGAGAAAUCUAUACAGAAGUGUGCUCUUCAGUGAAGGAAGGAGCUGUGGGUGCCAAGAUCCAGCACCCAGGACGUUGUUUGAAGAAUUCAUCGACGUCUUCCAACUACCCUGGUGCCACUGAUGACAUCCUCUUCUACUGCCAUGAGAUUUGCCAUUAAUAUUUGUUCAUUACAAAUAAAUAUUUAUAUUGCAAAUGAA